GGGCGUGUAACUCAGUGGUAGAGUGCUCGCUUUGCAUCUUUCCAGGCGCUAAAUUGCGAGAAGCCCAGGGUUCGACUCCCUGCUCGUCCA